GAUGAGAACGUAGCGAAAUGCGAUACGUAAUGUGAAUUGCAGAAUUCAGUGAAUCAUCGAGUCUUUGAACGCACAUUGCGCCCCCUGGUAUUCCGGGGGGCAUGCCUGUCCGAGCGUCAUUGCUGCCCUCAAGCACGGCUUGUGUGUUGGGCCUCCGUCCUCCUCCCGGGGGACGGGCCCGAAAGGCAGCGGCGGCACCGCGUCCGGUCCUCGAGCGUAUGGGGCUUCGUCACCCGCUCUUGUAGGCCCGGCCGGCGCUUGCCGACACAUCAAUCUUUUUUCCAGGUUGACCUCGGAUCAGGUAGGGAUACCCGCUGAACUUAAGCAUAUAAUAAGCGGAGGA
rnacentral:misc_RNA from 1 species